UGGAUAGCUCAGUCAGCAGAGCAUGACUCUCUUCUUCUCAGGGUCAUGGGUUCGAAUCCCAUGUUGGGUAAA